UAGCCAUUUUCAUAUAAUGCCCCGGUCAACAUUAAUAUUACGUUAAUUAUUUCCCUUCGUUCGGGCGGGCUCUCAUUCGAAACGGGAUCUCGUCCCCGACGCUCCGUUCUGCCCUUCCUGAUUGGUGGCUGGAGUCAUAGCUUCACAAUCCCUCAAUGGCCCAUCACACCAAUCUGCCAAUGAGUUCGAGGCAUUUGAAUCUCAAGAAGUCCUUUAAGCUGGGCAUUCGAUCGCUACUCACUGCAUUCUCCAAAGAGGAUGUGCACAAAGCAUUUUCAACAUUUACAGAUGCUGAAAGAGAUAGCCUCUACUGCAUAUUUAUUCAGGUCAUCAAAUCAUUGCAUGAAAAUAUAGAGGAGGAGUUUGAGUCUAUAUGUCAUGAAACAGAGGUAGGUACAGCUCUUAACAUGGUGGAGCAUCUAGUGGAAGAGCAUAAUCUUGACAUUCUGUCUUCAGAUAAGACAAACAUAGAAGACAUCAGAGAGAAGAUCACAAAAGCAAAGAAGGAUGAAAUUCAACAUUUGACGAGUCUGUUACUAUGGGACUAUAUGCAUGCAGCAUUAGGCUUAGCACUAUUGAAACCUGUGACUUUUGGUUCAGGCUGAAGAACAAAAUGAUAACAUGAAGGCUCGCAUUAAAUCCCUCAAGGAGAGGCGGAACUUUCCAGUCACUGCAGAUGCUGUUGAGAAAUUGAGAAGCUGGAAUGAGAACUAUGAACGGUAUAAUAGCAACUGAACUGGUCGCAGCCUUCAUUGUUAUAGUAUCUUCCUUGUUGUAUUUGAUAGACUUCCGUGUGUGCUAAAACUAGCUUAAGCCAUGAGAACACUGAUGCUGAAUUCUUCUAUGGAAUUCCAUCUUCACCAUAAAACAAAAUAUUUGUGAGUGUUAAUAGUGCAGCAAAAUUAUGAGCAAGAUGCAAAGUGAUGUCUUUGGUACUUGCAUGUGAUUUAGAGUGGAGUCUAAAGGCUGAUGUCCAUUUUAUAUGUAGGAAAAAACCUUUUCACCUGGUAGGAGCCAAGAACCAUCAUCGACAGUCUGCUUCUUUUGUAGAAAAAUUGGAAUUUUAUUGUCUUGAUCAAAUGUUCAUUUACUUCACCAA